CAGUAUUUAGUUUAUGUGUAAAAUUUAGUGUUUGGGUCACUGGGAAUGUUUACUGA
rnacentral:tRNA from 1 species